rnacentral:snRNA from 1 species
UCGCUUUGGCAGCAAAUAUACUAAAAUUGGGAGGGUACAGAGAAGAUUAGUAUGGGCCCUGCGCAAGAAAAAAAAGAAACAAUGUUUCUCUCU